GUCAUUAAGGAGCAGGUAGGGGUUAGACAGUACAGAGACAGGUCAUUAAGGAGCAGGUAGGGGUUAGACAGUACAGAGACAGGUCAUUAAGGAGCAGGUAGGGGUUAGACAGUACAGAGAUGGGUCAUUAAGGAGCAGGUAGGGGUUAGACAGUACAGAGAUGGGUCAUUAAGGAGGAGAUAGGGGUUAGACAGUACAGAGACGGGUCAUUAAGGAGCAGGUAGGGGUUAGACAGUACAGAGACGGGUCAUUAAGGAGCAGGUAGGGGUUAGACAGUACAGAGACAGGUCAUUAAGGAGCAGGUAGGGGUUAGACAGUACAGAGACGGGUCAUUAAGGAGCAGGUAGGGGUUAGACAGUACAGAGACAGGUCAUUAAGGAGCAGGUAGGGGUUAGACAGUGGAAAGACAGGUCAUUAAGGAGCAGGUAGGGGUUAGACAGUACAGAGACAGGUCAUUAAGGAGCAGGUAGGGGUUAGACAGUACAGAGACAGGUCAUUAAGGAGCAGGUAGGGGUUAGACAGUACAGAGACAGGUCAUUAAGGAGCAGGUAGGGGUUAGACAGUACAGAGACAGGUCAGCAAAGAGCAAGAAGAGGUUGGAGAGUGGAUUAAUCUCCUGAAUCUAAAAGGUAUAAAUCUAGAGAUUGAUUUUAAAACGAUGGAAACUAAAUUUGCUUUUAUAUGAACUCAAAUUCCAACUCGAUGACCUUAGAGACGACUCAGGGUGUAGUUCAGAGGGCUUUAUCGGUGGUCCUUCCCUAGUUUCAUAACCCCCAACCUAUCCAAAGUCUGCCUCAGGAUUCAGGAGGACUUGUUAUCCCUUCUGCAAGUUCUGGCUGGCUAGACCGAUGAUUUAGAAGAAAUUGGUGACCAAAAAUCUUUCUGAAAAGAUUCAACAUUCAUG
ensembl:lncRNA